ACAACUUUCAGCAACGGAUCUCUUGGCUCUCGCAUCGAUGAAGAACGCAGCGAAAUGCGAUAAGUAAUGUGAAUUGCAGAAUUCAGUGAAUCAUCGAAUCUUUGAACGCACCUUGCGCUCCUUGGUAUUCCGAGGAGCAUGCCUGUUUGAGUGUCAUUAAUAUAUAUAUCAACCUUCUCUUGUUUGAGUGGUUU
rnacentral:rRNA from 1 species